GACGCGGCUGAUCAUGCCGAACGGUCGCUCAAUCGUGCUGGAACGGCAACAGGGGGCGGACGCAGGCGGAUAUUCCGGUCUCGAGGAUGGGGUCGACAAUCACUGGGCCGAGUUGUUCAAGGCUGCGCUCCUCUCGACCAUCCUUGGCGUGGGAGCGGAGCUUGGCUCUGGUACAAACACUGGCAGCAACACGGAUAUUAUUCAGGCUUUGCGUUUGGGCGCGGCUAAUUCACUAAACCAAACUGGACAACAGG
rnacentral:misc_RNA from 1 species